rnacentral:rRNA from 1 species
GGUGAACGCUGGCGGUAGGCCUAACACAUGCAAGUCGAACGGCAGCACAGUAAGAGCUUGCUCUUACGGGUGGCGAGUGGCGGACGGGUGAGGAAUACAUCGGAAUCUACUUUUUCGUGGAGGAUAACGUAGGGAAACUUACGCUAAUACCGCAUACGACCUACGGGUGAAAGCAGGGGAUCUUCGGACCUUGCGCGAUUGAAUGAGCCGAUGUCGGAUUAGCUAGUUGGCGGGGUAAAGGCCCACCAAGGCGACGAUCCGUAGCUGGUCUGAGAGGAUGAUCAGCCACACUGGAACUGAGACACGGUCCAGACUCCUACGGGAGGCAGCAGUGGGGAAUAUUGGACAAUGGGCGCAAGCCUGAUCCAGCCAUACCGCGUGGGUGAAGAAGGCCUUCGGGUUGUAAAGCCCUUUUGUUGGGAAAGAAAAGCAGCAGGUUAAUACCCCGCUGUUCUGACGGUACCCAAAGAAUAAGCACCGGCUAACUUCGUG